UAGGUUAAUGAGGCGAACCGGGGGAACUGAAACAUCUAAGUACCCCGAGGAAAAGAAAUCAACCGAGAUUCCCCCAGUAGCGGCGAGCGAACGGGGAGCAGCCCAGAGCCUGAAUCAGUGUGUGUGUUAGUGGAAGCGUCUGGAAAGGCGCGCGAUACAGGGUGACAGCCCCGUACACAAAAAUGCACAUGCUGUGAGCUCGAUGAGUAGGGCGGGACACGUGGUAUCCUGUCUGAAUAUGGGGGGACCAUCCUCCAAGGCUAAAUACUCCUGACUGACCGAUAGUGAACCAGUACCGUGAGGGAAAGGCGAAAAGAACCCCGGCGAGGGGAGUGAAAAAGAACCUGAAACCGUGUACGUACAAGCAGUGGGAGCCUCUUUUAUGGGGUGACUGCGUACCUUUUGUAUAAUGGGUCAGCGACUUAUAUUCUGUAGCAAGGUUAACCGAAUAGGGGAGCCGAAGGGAAACCGAGUCUUAACUGGGCGUUAAGUUGCAGGGUAUAGACCCGAAACCCGGUGAUCUAGCCAUGGGCAGGUUGAAGGUUGGGUAACACUAACUGGAGGACCGAACCGACUAAUGUUGAAAAAUUAGCGGAUGACUUGUGGCUGGGGGUGAAAGGCCAAUCAAACCGGGAGAUAGCUGGUUCUCCCCGAAAGCUAUUUAGGUAGCGCCUCGUGAAUUCAUCUCCGGGGGUAGAGCACUGUUUCGGCAAGGGGGUCAUCCCGACUUACCAACCCGAUGCAAACUGCGAAUACCGGAGAAUGUUAUCACGGGAGACACACGGCGGGUGCUAACGUCCGUCGUGAAGAGGGAAACAACCCAGACCGCCAGCUAAGGUCCCAAAGUCAUGGUUAAGUGGGAAACGAUGUGGGAAGGCCCAGACAGCCAGGAUGUUGGCUUAGAAGCAGCCAUCAUUUAAAGAAAGCGUAAUAGCUCACUGGUCGAGUCGGCCUGCGCGGAAGAUGUAACGGGGCUAAACCAUGCACCGAAGCUGCGGCAGCGACGCUUAUGCGUUGUUGGGUAGGGGAGCGUUCUGUAAGCCUGCGAAGGUGUGCUGUGAGGUAUGCUGGAGGUAUCAGAAGUGCGAAUGCUGACAUAAGUAACGAUAAAGCGGGUGAAAAGCCCGCUCGCCGGAAGACCAAGGGUUCCUGUCCAACGUUAAUCGGGGCAGGGUGAGUCGACCCCUAAGGCGAGGCCGAAAGGCGUAGUCGAUGGGAAACAGGUUAAUAUUCCUGUACUUGGUGUUACUGCGAAGGGGGGACGGAGAAGGCUAUGUUGGCCGGGCGACGGUUGUCCCGGUUUAAGCGUGUAGGCUGGUUUUCCAGGCAAAUCCGGAAAAUCAAGGCUGAGGCGUGAUGACGAGGCACUACGGUGCUGAAGCAACAAAUGCCCUGCUUCCAGGAAAAGCCUCUAAGCAUCAGGUAACAUCAAAUCGUACCCCAAACCGACACAGGUGGUCAGGUAGAGAAUACCAAGGCGCUUGAGAGAACUCGGGUGAAGGAACUAGGCAAAAUGGUGCCGUAACUUCGGGAGAAGGCACGCUGAUAUGUAGGUGAAGCGACUUGCUCGUGGAGCUGAAAUCAGUCGAAGAUACCAGCUGGCUGCAACUGUUUAUUAAAAACACAGCACUGUGCAAACACGAAAGUGGACGUAUACGGUGUGACGCCUGCCCGGUGCCGGAAGGUUAAUUGAUGGGGUUAGCGGUAACGCGAAGCUCUUGAUCGAAGCCCCGGUAAACGGCGGCCGUAACUAUAACGGUCCUAAGGUAGCGAAAUUCCUUGUCGGGUAAGUUCCGACCUGCACGAAUGGCGUAAUGAUGGCCAGGCUGUCUCCACCCGAGACUCAGUGAAAUUGAACUCGCUGUGAAGAUGCAGUGUACCCGCGGCAAGACGGAAAGACCCCGUGAACCUUUACUAUAGCUUGACACUGAACAUUGAGCCUUGAUGUGUAGGAUAGGUGGGAGGCUUUGAAGUGUGGACGCCAGUCUGCAUGGAGCCGGCCUUGAAAUACCACCCUUUAAUGUUUGAUGUUCUAACGUUGGCCCCUGAUCGGGGUUGCGGACAGUGUCUGGUGGGUAGUUUGACUGGGGCGGUCUCCUCCUAAAGAGUAACGGAGGAGCACGAAGGUUGGCUAAUCCUGGUCGGACAUCAGGAGGUUAGUGCAAUGGCAUAAGCCAGCUUGACUGCGAGCGUGACGGCGCGAGCAGGUGCGAAAGCAGGUCAUAGUGAUCCGGUGGUUCUGAAUGGAAGGGCCAUCGCUCAACGGAUAAAAGGUACUCCGGGGAUAACAGGCUGAUACCGCCCAAGAGUUCAUAUCGACGGCGGUGUUUGGCACCUCGAUGUCGGCUCAUCACAUCCUGGGGCUGAAGUAGGUCCCAAGGGUAUGGCUGUUCGCCAUUUAAAGUGGUACGCGAGCUGGGUUUAGAACGUCGUGAGACAGUUCGGUCCCUAUCUGCCGUGGGCGCUGGAGAACUGAGGGGGGCUGCUCCUAGUACGAGAGGACCGGAGUGGACGCAUCACUGGUGUUCGGGUUGUCAUGCCAAUGGCACUGCCCGGUAGCUAAAUGCGGAAGAGAUAAGUGCUGAAAGCAUCUAAGCACGAAACUUGCCCCGAGAUGAGUUCUCCCUGAGACUUAGAGUCUCCUGAAGGAACGUUGAAGACGACGACGUUGAUAGGCCGGGUGUGUAAGCGCAGCGAUGCGUUGAGCUAACCGGUACUAAUGAACCGUGAGGCUUAACCUU
rnacentral:rRNA from 1 species